AUGAACCUUUCAUAAAUUCGCAGUCUCAGCUUAUGGUUUAUGGCCUCGAUUCUGCAAACCUAACAGGGUCACAUAUGUUCUCUAAUGCAGUCCUUCUACCUGGUGUUUACUUUUGUUACCUAAAUAAUGAGUAGGAUCUUGUUUUGUUUUAUCACCAGCACACAGAUUGCUAUAAACUGUUACUUUGUGAAUUACAUUUUUAUAGAAGAUAUUUUCAGUGUCUUUACCUGAGGGUAUGUCUUUAGCUAUGUUUUAGGGCCAUACAUUUACUCUAUCAAAUGAUCUUUUCUCCAUCCCCCAGGCUGUGCUUAUUUCUAGUGCCUUGUGCUCACUCCUGCUCUCUACAGAGCCAGCCUGGCCUGGGCAUUGUAAACAGCUUUUCCUUUUUCUCUUACUGUUUUCUCUACAGUCCUUUAUAUUUCAUACCAUCUCUGCCUUAUAAGUGGUUUAGUGCUCAGUUGGCUCUAGUAACCAGAGGACACAGAAAGUAUCUUUUGGAAAGUUUAGCCACCUGUGCUUUCUGACUCAGAGUGCAUGCAACAGUUAGAUCAUGCAACAGUUAGAUUAUGUUUAGGGUUAGGAUUUUCAAAGAAUGGAGGUUGCUGCACUCAGAAAAUAAUUCAGAUCAUGUUUAUGCAUUAUUAAGUUGUACUGAAUUCUUUGCAGCUUAAUGUGAUAUAUGACUAUCUUGAACAAGAGAAAAAACUAGGAGAUGUUUCUCCUGAAGAGCUUUUGGGGUUGGGAACUAUUCUUUUUUAAUUGCUGUACUACUUAACAUUGUUCUAAUUCAGUAGCUUGAGGAACAGGAACAUUGUUUUCUAGAGCAAGAUAAUAAAGGAGAUGGGCCAUACAAAUGUUUUCUACUUUCGUUGUGACAACAUUGAUUAGGUGUUGUCAGUACUAUAAAUGCUUGAGAUAUAAUGAAUCCACAGCAUUCAAGGUCAGGUCUACUCAAAGUCUCACAUGGAAAAGUGAGUUCUGCCUUUCCUUUGAUCGAGGGUCAAAAUACAAAGACAUUUUUGCUAGGGCCUACAAAUUGAAUUUAAAAACUCACUGCACUGAUUCAUCUGAGCUUUUUGGUUAGUAUUCAUGGCUAGAGUGAACAUAGCUUUAGUUUUUGCUGUUGUAAAAGUGUUUUCAUAAGUUCACUCAAGAAAAAUGCAGCUGUUCUGAACUGGAAUUUUUCAGCAUUCUUUAGAAUUUUAAAUGAGUAGAGAGCUCAACUUUUAUUCCUAGCAUCUGCUUUUGACUCAUUUCUAGGCAGUGCUUAUGAAGAAAAAUUAAAGCACAAACAUUCUGGCAUUCAAUCGUUGGCAGAUUAUCUUCUGAUGACACAGAAUGAAAGGGCAUCUCAGCCUCUCUGAACUUUGUAAAAAUCUGUCCCCAGUUCUUCCAUCGGUGUAGUUGUUGCAUUUGAGUGAAUACUCUCUUGAUUUAUGUAUUUUAUGUCCAGAUUCGCCAUUUCUGAAAUCCAGAUCCAACACAAGCAGUCUUGCCGUUAGGGCAUUUUGAAGCAGAUAGUAGAGUAAGAACUUAGUGACUACAGCUUAUUCUUCUGUAACAUAUGGUUUCAAACAUCUUUGCCAAAAGCUAAGCAGUGGUGAACUGAAAAGGGCAUAUUGCCCCAAGGUUACACUGAAGCAGCUCAUAGCAAGUUAAAAUAUUGUGACAGAUUUGAAAUCAUGUUUGAAUUUCAUAGUAGGACCAGUACAAGAAUGUCCCUGCUAGUUUCUGUUUGAUGUUUGGUUCUGGCGGCUCAGGCAUUUUGGGAACUGUUGCACAGGGUGGAGUCAAAACAACCUACAUAUAAAAAGAGAAAAAGAGAAACUUGUCCAUUUAGCUUUCAUAAGAAAUCCCAUGGCAAAGGGUAAUAAAAAGGACCUAAUCUUAAAAAUACAAUUUCUAAGCACUUGUAAGAACCCAGUGGGUUGGAGCCUCCCACUUUGUCCCUCCUUUGAAGUGGAUGGGAACUCAAGGUGCAAAGAACCUGUUUUGGAAGAAAGCUUGGGGCCAUUUCAGCCCCCUGUAUUCUCAUGAUUUUCUCUCAGGAAGCACACACUGUGAAUGGCAGACUUUUCAUUUAGCCCCAGGUGACUUACUAAAAAUAGUUGAAAAUUAUUCACCUAAGAAUAGAAUCUCAGCAUUGUGUUAAAUAAAAAUGAAAGCUUUAGAAGGCAUGAGAUGUUCCUAUCUUAAAUAAAGCAUGUUUCUUUUCUAUAGAGAAAUGUAUAGUUUGACUCUCCAGAAUGUACUAUCCAUCUUGAUGAGAAAACUCUUAAAUAGUACCAAACAUUUUGAACUUUAAAUUAUGUAUUUAAAGUGAGUGUUUAAGAAACUGUAGCUGCUUCUUUUACAAGUGGUGCCUAUUAAAGUCAGUAAUGGCCAUUAUUGUUCCAUUGUGGAAAUUAAAUUAUGUAAGCUUCCUAAUAUCAUAAACAUAUUAAAAUUCUUCUAAAA
rnacentral:lncRNA from 1 species